AAGGAUGCACACCAAACCAUCAAGUGUCUUUGGCAAGGGGCGUGGAUUUGGGAAAGAGAGAGAGCCUUAGUAAAGUGACAGCGUUCUCUUUACUCAAGCAUCUGAUAAAAUCUGGAAAAUAUCAGGGAGGAUCCGAGGGUUCCAUCACCUUCUUCUCCUUAGUGGCAGAAAAAAAAAAGAAAAAGAAAAAAAAGAAAAUCACUGCAUUUAACAAAACUGUCAGGAGCUGAUUAUAUAGUUUGUAGCCCAUCCUUUCCGACUCCUUGCAUUUGACCGUUUUUCUGCACAUUGUCACGGAGCCCAAAGAAACAAACAAAGAGAUGUUGUAAGCCGAAGUUGCUGCUCCUUAAAACCAAUACAAAAUGAUAAUAAUAAUAAUA